CUGACGCUGAUGCACGAAAGCGUGGGGAUCAAACAGGAUUAGAUACCCUGGUAGUCCACGCAGUAAACGAUGAUCACUAGCUGUUUGCGAUACACUGUAAGCGGCACAGCNAAANCNUUAAGGAGUGCGCCUGGGGAGUACGCGGGCAACGGUGAAACUCAAAGGAAUUGACGGGGGCCCGCACAAGCGGAGGAACAUGUGGUUUAAUUCGAUGAUACGCGAGGAACCUUACCCGGGUUUGAACGCAUUCGGACCGAGGUGGAAACACCUUUUCUAGCAAUAGCCGUUUGCGAGGUGCUGCAUGGUUGUCGUCAGCUCGUGCCGUGAGGUGUCGGCUUAAGUGCCAUAACGAGCGCAACCCUUGCCACUAGUUACUAACAGGUAAAGCUGAGGACUCUGGUGGGACUGCCAGCGUAAGCUGCGAGGAAGGCGGGGAUGACGUCAAAUCAGCACGGCCCUUACAUCCGGGGCGACACACGUGUUACAAUGGCGUGGACAAAGGGAAGCCACCUGGCGACAGGGAGCGAAUCCCCAAACCACGUCUCAGUUCGGAUCGGAGUCUGCAACCCGACUCCGUGAAGCUGGAUUCGCUAGUAAUCGCGCAUCAGCCAUGGCGCGGUGAAUACGUUCCCGGGCCUUGUACACACCGCCCGUCAAGCCAUGGGAGCCGGGGGUACCUGAAGUCCGUAACCGCGAGGAUCGGCCUAGGGUAAAACUGGUGACUGGGGCUAAGUCGUAACAAGGUAGCCGUACCGGAAGGUGCGGCUG
rnacentral:rRNA from 1 species